CCCUACGGGGUGCAGCAGGUAUUCCUCGCCUUUGUAGCCGUACUCGCGGUUCUCUUUCACGUGUUCGGCGGCGGCGUGGGCCACGCGGCGCAGGCUCGCUACGGUGAAAUCUUCGCCGAUAACCGCCCGCCAGCCGGAGGUGCCGAACUUGAUAUUUUGGGUCGCCAUAGAUAUUGAAAUAUAGCAUAACGAAGCUAUAAAAAGCAAAAGACGGCCGGGGAAAGCGGGCGGGGGGCGCGCCGCCGGAGCGAUGUGAAGAACAGUAAGGGCCCGUUUUGUUAGUAAAAUAUAUCUUCUUAUAAAUGAAAAGUAAAAUUAUCGUCGCCGUUUUCCUGCUGGCCCAGCCGCUGACCGCGGCGGUCGGCGAACCGGAACUGGAACUCAAAGGGUAUCUCUCGGCCUGGACCCAGGAAUUGGCGGGAGGGC
rnacentral:rRNA from 1 species